AACUAGAAACUUGUCUACCUUCCCUUUUGAAAAGCGAAGUCUUUACAUAUAAUUACAUGUCGUACAAAGUCCAUUUUAUAUCAUACAUCCUUUUGCCCUUGGGGUUUGGUUGGUCUACAAAGAAUGUCACUUAUCCGAAUUUCAACCAUACAUCCUCACACAAUCUUAUCCAUACAAAACUUUCCAACAUAUUACGCUCUCUGCACUGGCUGCAAAUCAUCAACAAUAGAGGCCUCUCUGCACCAAGCUUCUUACAAGACAAUUCAAGAUGGCAGCAACAGCAGCUGCAACCUCAGCAAUAGGUUUUGUUCCAUUAGGGGCCGCCCCUUUGAAGUCUCGUUGCUCCAGGCUAAACUGUAGCAAGGUGCAAUGUUUGCGAACCUCCAUGGCGUAUGCAGGCUUUGAACCAGACAACAAAUUGAUGAAGAUGGGAUUAGCUUCCACCGCUAAUGAGAAAUUUGCUUACAAUGCUUUUAAAGGCAGUAACUGUGAUAAUAGAAGACCAAGAACUCUUGGAAUAAGCUAUGGUGUGGGGGCAGAAAUAGCAAGAAUAGUACCCAUCAUGAGUGGUUUGGUUCUCAUGGGAAUUGCUAUUGGCUUUGUGCUUCUGAGGAUAGAAGCAUCUGUUGAGGAGUCACAAGAGUAGAAACCCAACUUUGUUUUGAAUCUAGGUUUCUUUCUUGUUGUGUAAUGAAUUCUCAAAAUUCAGUGUAAGAUUGGAUUAAAUAGAAAUUCUAAAAUGAAAAACUGUGUCCCGUGACUUCCUCAUCA